GGCAGCAGUAGGGAAUCUUCCGCAAUGGACGAAAGUCUGACGGAGCAACGCCGCGUGAGUGACGAAGGUUUUCGGAUCGUAAAACUCUGUUGUGAGGGAAGAACAAGUGCCACGUAACUACUGGCACCUUGACGGUACCUCACCAGAAAGCCACGGCUAACUACGUGCCAGCAGCCGCGGUAAUACGUAGGUGGCAAGCGUUGUCCGGAAUUAUUGGGCGUAAAGCGCGCGCAGGCGGUCCUUUAAGUCUGAUGUGAAAGCCCACGGCUCAACCGUGGAGGGUCAUUGGAAACUGGAGGACUUGAGUGCAGAAGAGGAAAGUGGAAUUCCAUGUGUAGCGGUGAAAUGCGUAGAGAUGUGGAGGAACACCAGUGGCGAAGGCGACUUUCUGGUCUGUAACUGACGCUGAGGCGCGAAAGCGUGGGGAGCAAACAGGAUUAGAUACCCUGGUAGUCCACGCCGUAAACGAUGAGUGCUAAGUGUUAGGGGGUUUCCGCCCCUUAGUGCUGCAGCUAACGCAUUA
rnacentral:rRNA from 1 species